GCUGUAGCUCAAGUGGCAGAGCACUUGCCUUGCAUGCAGAGUGCCCUGGGUUCGAAUCCAGACAUCUCCA